rnacentral:rRNA from 1 species
UACAGAGACCUCAAGCGUUAUCCGGAAUCACUGGGCGUAAAGCGUCUGUAGGUGGUCAAAUAAGUCAACUGUUAAAUCUUGAGGCUCAACCUCAAAAUCGCAGUCGAAACUAUUCGACUAGAGUAUAGUAGGGGUAAAGGGAAUUUCCAGUGGAGCGGUGAAAUGCGUAGAGAUUGGAAAGAACACCGAUGGCGAAGGCACUUUACUGGGCUAUUACUAACACUGAGAGACGAAAGCUAGGGUAGCAAAUGGG